UAUUUUUACCGUGCACUUUUCAAAAACCAUUGACGCCUCAGUAACCGUCGAAUGCGCCCGUCAAACGACAUGGCCACGUUCAGAUGCAUCUGUACCUACAGACCGAAGUUCGUGCGGACGAUGGCGCCCAUCUUCAGCGACCUGAUCGACAUGAACCGGUUGCUCUGCGUCCUCGUGAUCGCGCAGACCGUUAAAAAAGCGAUGAGGGAUUUCUGAAUGGAUGGAAAUUAGGUGGAAAGUAGAGGAAAAAGGUGGUGGUAGUUCCGGUAACUCAAAAUAUUUCGACAGUGCAACUGAAAACAUCCCCUAAAAUCGAAUAGAAUUAUAAUAGAUCGAAACACGUUUUAGUGAUAUCAUUAAUUGGAUUUGUAAAUCGACACAAUAUGAAAUAAACAUCUGAUAAAGCUUUA